rnacentral:rRNA from 1 species
GGUACGUACACCCUGUACAGGGGGAUAACAGUCAGAAAUGACUGCUAAUACCGCAUAAGACCACAGCACCGCAUGGUGCAGGGGUAAAAACUCCGGUGGUACAGGAUGGACCCGCGUCUGAUUAGCUGGUUGGUGAGGUAACGGCUCACCAAGGCGACGAUCAGUAGCCGGCUUGAGAGAGUGAACGGCCACAUUGGGACUGAGACACGGCCCAAACUCCUACGGGAGGCAGCAUG